rnacentral:misc_RNA from 1 species
GAUGAAGAACGUAGCGAAAUGCGAUACGUAAUGUGAAUUGCAGAAUUCAGUGAAUCAUCGAAUCUUUGAACGCACAUUGCGCCCCUUGGUAUUCCGAGGGGCAUGUCUGUUCGAGCGUCAUUACACCACUCAAGCUAUGCUUGGUAUUGGGCGUCGUCCUUAGUUGGGCGCGCCUUAAAGACCUCGGCGAGGCCACUCCGGCUUUAGGCGUAGUAGAAUUUAUUCGAACGUCUGUCAAAGGAGAGGAACUCUGCCGACUGAAACCUUUAUUUUUCUAGGUUGACCUCGGAUCAGGUAGGGAUACCCGCUGAACUUAAGCAUAUCAAUAAGCGGAGGA